CGGCAACAGCUCAAAUUUGAAAUCUGGCCUUACGGUCCGAGUUGUAAUUUGUAGAGGAUGUUUCGGGUACCGCUGUGGUCUAAAUUUCUUGGAACAGGAUGUCAGAGAGGGUGAGAAUCCCGUCUGCGACCGCGGUAGGGCCUAUGUGAAACUCCUUCGAC
rnacentral:rRNA from 1 species